UAGUGUUUUAAUGAUCUAUUAGAUUGGUGCAAAAGUAAUUGCGGUUUUUGCCAUUGAAAGUAAUGGUAAAAACGGCAGUUACUUUUGCACCAACCUAAUAGAUCA
rnacentral:miRNA from 1 species